CGAACGAAGCGAUUAGAAGGAAGUUUUCGGAUGGAAUUUUAAUUGACUGAGUGGCGGACGGGUGAGUAACGCGUGGGUAACCUGCCUCAUACAGGGGGAUAACAGUUAGAAAUGACUGCUAAUACCGCAUAAGCGCACAGGAUUGCAUGAUCCCGUGUGAAAAACUCCGGUGGUAUGAGAUGGACCCGCGUCUGAUUAGCUGGUUGGUGGGGUAACGGCCCACCAAGGCGACGAUCAGUAGCCGACCUGAGAGGGUGACCGGCCACAUUGGGACUGAGACACGGCCCAAACUCCUACGGGAGGCAGCAGUGGGGAAUAUUGCACAAUGGGGGAAACCCUGAUGCAGCAACGCCGCGUGAGUGAAGAAGUAUUUCGGUAUGUAAAGCUCUAUCAGCAGGGAAGAAAAUGACGGUACCUGAGUAAGAAGCCCCGGCUAACUACGUGCCAGCAGCCGCGGUAAUACGUAGGGGGCAAGCGUUAUCCGGAUUUACUGGGUGUAAAGGGAGCGUAGACGGCGAUGCAUGUCUGAAGUGAAAGCCCGGGGCUCAACCCCGGGACUGCUUUGGAAACUGUAUGGCUGGAGUGCUGGAGAGGCAAGCGGAAUUCCUAGUGUAGCGGUGAAAUGCGUAGAUAUUAGGAAGAACACCAGUGGCGAAGGCGGCUUGCUGGACAGUAACUGACGUUGAGGCUCGAAAGCGUGGGGGAGCAAACAGGAUUAGAUACCCUGGUAGUCCACGCUGUAAACGAUGAAUGCUAGGUGUUGGGGAGCAAAGCUUCUCGGUGCCGCCGCAAACGCAGUAAGCAUUCCACCUGGGGAGUACGUUCGCAAGAAUGAAACUCAAAGGAAUUGACGGGGACCCGCACAAGCGGUGGAGCAUGUGGUUUAAUUCGAAGCAACGCGAAGAACCUUACCAAGUCUUGACAUCCCGGUGACGCAUGCAGAAAUGCAUGUUCUCUUCGGAGCACUGGAGACAGGUGGUGCAUGGUUGUCGUCAGCUCGUGUCGUGAGAUGUUGGGUUAGGUCCCGCAACGAGCGCAACCCUUAUCCUUAGUAGCCAGCAGGUAAAGCUGGGCACUCUAGGGAGACUGCCAGGGAUAACCUGGAGGAAGGUGGGGAUGACGUCAAAUCAUCAUGCCCCUUAUGAUUUGGGCUACACACGUGCUACAAUGGCGUAAACAAAGGGAAGCGAAGUGGCGACAUGGAGCGAACCCCAAAAAUAACGUCUCAGUUCGGAUUGCAGGCUGCAACCCGCCUGCAUGAAGCCGGAAUCGCUAGUAAU
rnacentral:rRNA from 1 species